GACGAACGCUGGCGGCGUGCUUAACACAUGCAAGUCGAACGGUGAACCCGCUUCGGUGGGGGAUCAGUGGCGAACGGGUGAGUAACACGUGGGCAACCUGCCCCCGGCUCUGGGAUAACUCCAAGAAAUUGGGGCUAAUACCGGAUGUGACCGCUGACCGCAUGGUCUGGUGGUGGAAAGGGUUUCCGGCUGGGGAUGGGCCCGCGGCCUAUCAGCUUGUUGGUGGGGUAGGGGCCUACCAAGGCGACGACGGGUAGCCGGCCUGAGAGGGUGACCGGCCACACUGGGACUGAGACACGGCCCAGACUCCGACGGGAGGAAGCAGUGGGGAAUAUUGGCCAAUGGGCGAAAGCCCGAUCCAGCAACGCCGCGUGGGGGAUGACGGCCUUCGGGUUGUAAACCUCUUUCAGUACCGACGAAGCGCCGAUGAUGGUGGUGACGGUAGGUACAGAAGAAGCACCGGCCAACGACGUGCCAGCCGCCGCCGUAAAAC
rnacentral:rRNA from 1 species